UUUUAUUUGAGAGUUUGAUCCUGGCUCAGGAUGAACGCUGGCGGCGUGCCUAACACAUGCAAGUUGAGCGAUUUACUUCGGUAAAGAGCGGCGGACGGGUGAGUAACGCGUGGGUAACCUACCCUGUACACACGGAUAACAUACCGAAAGGUAUGCUAAUACGGGAUAAUAUAUUUGAGAGGCAUCUCUUGAAUAUCAAAGGUGAGCCAGUACAGGAUGGACCCGCGUCUGAUUAGCUAGUUGGUAAGGUAACGGCUUACCAAGGCGACGAUCAGUAGCCGACCUGAGAGGGUGAUCGGCCACAUUGGAACUGAGACACGGUCCAAACUCCUACGGGAGGCAGCAGUGGGGAAUAUUGCACAAUGGGCGAAAGCCUGAUGCAGCAACGCCGCGUGAGUGAUGAAGGCCUUC
rnacentral:rRNA from 1 species